ACCAACAACAACAAUCUCCUCAAUAGAUUUAUGAAGAUUCAGCUCUGAUGAUCGUUCAAUUUGAUCUUAGAGAAGUUAGGUUGUAGCAGACGGUUGCGAUCCCAAUCCAUGGUAGAACUUUACGAAUUCAGAAUUAAUGCACUUUCAAGCAUUACUCCGGAUCGACACUUCGAAUAGUAGAUGGCAUGCAGAGAGGUGGUGGUUUUUUUGAUCUUGGUGUAGGGAUGAGUUCAGAUAGAGAGAAAAACUUAGAAGAAGAGAGAAAGAAACCAAG
rnacentral:lncRNA from 1 species